rnacentral:lncRNA from 1 species
CGCCCUUGAUUUUUCUAUUUUACACUUUGUGUUACUUUUAGUCAUGUACACACGCUUAACCGAAUUACCAUGUUCAUGAAUGUCCAAAUUGUAGAUCUUGAUUGAAUUUUCUUGCUACUUACCAUGUAGUUUUACGAGCCAAUGCUUUCCUAUGGCAAUUCGACAAUGCUGAUUUUGCCUCGGUCAAUGCACAUGAUCGACAUCUGUACAUGAUAUGGUUCCCUGUGGUAAUUCAACAAUGUUGAUUUUGCCCUUGUCUUGAUUAAGCCAUGUUGCAUGGAAAUGUGUUUUCAUGUUUUUUUAAAAGCUGAUAGGUACAAUCAGGAACAAAUGCAACAUGUUUUUGUCAUUUAAUAUAGCACUUGGAAGGAAUGGAACACAUAGAUAUCACAAUUGAUGCGCAAAGAAGAAGCAAGCUAUAAUGUUGCUUCGAGUAUAUUGUACUACAGUCAUGCAACAUGUAAGGGAAGUUUAGCAAUUGAAUUAAGAACAGUAAGUUAAGAUAGUGGAUGAUAAUACACAUGAGAAUACCUUUGUGAUGAUUUUCUUAUCGCACGUGGUACGCAUAUUUGUGCAGUCUGGCACAUCUCCAUGUAUGAUCAAACGCUGUCUCUUUUUGUUGUCUUGAAGUUUCAUUGUCCUUUCCUAAUCCUGUCUUGGUAUUAUUGAUUGUCUGGAUUCACAUCAGUAUUAUAAUAAUUUUUUUCUGGCUUAAAUCAGUUAUAAACCCAAAUGUGCCAAACUUGAAUUAUUGCAUUAUAUAAUUUAGGUGUAACAUUUUUGUGAUAUCACUUAUUAGAAGUGCAUGAUUAGCAAUGGAUCACCUUGUUGGAUUGUAUAUUUGAUUGCUUUUAACUACCUUGGUAGGUUUCUCACAUUAUUGCAAUGUGGUCCACCUUUUAUUUUCAUCGUUUCUUCCUGCACAAUUUAGAAAACAUGUAUUAGAGAAGAUGAUAUUGUAAAAUUGGUAUGGAGUACUGCUGAAGGUUAUGGAGAUUUAUGAUUUUGAUUAAUUAUUCGCCUUACAAUUUUUUGUUUUGUUGUAGAAGAAAAGGAGAUCAACUUCCAAGAUCAGUUAUUGUGGUGAAAGCUUUAAUGUUAAAAUGGAUGUUAAGUUUCAAUCAUCAUGUGAAGACAGUGAGGGUCUUUUACCCUUCUGUUGCAGUUAGAUGACAGUCUAUAGAAAACCUUAUAUGGGUGAAGAAAUAGAUUGUGAUUGAGGAUGGCAAGUUCAUGUACAAUUACGAUUGAAGAAUCGCAAGGGAACUUGCCUGAUCUAAAUUUGAAAGCUAUUUGAUUAUUUACCUUGAGUUGAAACGUGGUGUGUACCUUUGAUCAUGUUCCUCUGUGAUUUCCAUGGUGAUUGGGAAUCAAGUGGUGUAGACAAGAUGAGGAGGACUUGGAAUGAGAGGAGCCAUGGCAAGCUAGCAUUGAAGGAUGAAGGGACUCACACAGGUGAUCUUCCAACAUAGAUGUGAUGGUAGAUGUGUUUUCUAUUGGAUUGAAAGGAGGGAGGUGGUCCUCAUGUAGAUAAAAGAGAUAUGCUAUGUAUUCUAUUUUUUCUUUUCUAUUGAGAGGUACUUCCAUUUUCUCUAUGGUAGCCCAGAGGUGGAAACGUGGGAUCACGUUAUAAAAAUCGGUUGGUCCUAACUAAUUGAUCACUGGAACAUAAAUUAAUUGAUUGUUGGAAAAACUAAUCUUUUUU